UACGGAGGGUGCAAGCGUUGUCCGGAUUUAUUGGGUUUAAAGGGUGCGUAGGUGGUGGGGUAAGUCGGAUGUGAAAUCCCGGGGCUCAACCCCGGAACUGCAUUCGAAACUGCCUUGCUCGAGUACUGGAGAGGAGACUGGAAUUUACGGUGUAGCAGUGAAAUGCGUAGAUAUCGUAAGGAAGACCAGUGGCGAAGGCGAGUCUCUGGACAGUUACUGACACUGAGCACGAAGGCCAGGGGAGCAAACGGG
rnacentral:rRNA from 1 species